rnacentral:rRNA from 1 species
UACGGGGGGGGCAAGCGUUGUUCGGAAUUACUGGGCGUAAAGGGCUCGUAGGCGGCCAACUAAGUCAGACGUGAAAUCCCCAGGCUUAACCUGGGAACUGCGUCUGAUACUGGAUGGCUUGAAUUCGGGAGAGGGAUGCAGAAUUCCAGGUGUAGCGGUGAAAUGCGUAGAUAUCGGGAGGAACACCUGCGGUGUAGACGGCUUACUGGACCAUAACUGACGCUGAGGCACGAAAGCGUGGGGAUCAAACAGG